AUUUGGAGUUUAUAAAUAGGGACUAAGUUCAGUGAGCCUGAGUAGGAAGCAAAGAAGAAAGGACACUUAUCUUUGAGGCAGAGUUUGAUUAUACUCCCUUUCAUUACGUCACUUGGAAUGCAUAGAUGAAGAUGCAAAAUAUGGUUCCUGCUACGUUGGUGUGCACAUUUAUGUUGCCUGGACUUGCUGGUGCAGUUUUAAGGCUUCUUUCUAUUCUACUGUUGGGUAAAAUGCAAAUUUCUUUGAAUGUGCUGAUAUUGUUGUGCAUGUGUGGUUUGUGCUGUUUGGGUUUAGGUUUUUAAGGUCCAUGUUGUUUGGUUUUAUUCAAGCAUAUGUAGUGUUGAAGAUUGAUUUUCUGUUUUCCUGUUUUUGGUGGUCUUGCAGCUUUGGUGGCUGUUUAAUCCCAUCAGAAAGAAGUGUUCUUUUAAGUGAUGUUCUUUCUCUUUGUCUUUAAAGAUUUCAUUUUCAUUAUGCUUAGAUGGUUAGAUAUAUAGUUUUCAUAAGGUUGUGAUUGUGUUAAAUUAGUAUGAAGUAUGCCAUUGUUUUUUAUUUAAUUGUAAAAGAUUGAAUUCCUGUCA